UGGGGAAUAUUGCACAAUGGGCGCAAGCCUGAUGCAGCCAUGCCGCGUGUAUGAAGAAGGCCUUCGGGUUGUAAAGUACUUUCAGUCGGGAGGAAGGUGGCAAGGUUAAUAACCUUAUCAAUUGACGUUACCGACAGAAGAAGCACCGGCUAACUCCGUGCCAGCAGCCGCGGUAAUACGGAGGGUGCAAGCGUUAAUCGGAAUUACUGGGCGUAAAGCGCACGCAGGCGGUUGAUUGAGUCAGAUGUGAAAUCCCCGGGCUUAACCCGGGAAUUGCAUCUGAUACUGGUCAGCUAGAGUCUUGUAGAGGGGGGUAGAAUUCCAUGUGUAGCGGUGAAAUGCAUAGAGAUGUGGAGGAAUACCGGUGGCGAAGGCGGCCCCCUGGACAAAGACUGACGCUCAGGUGCGAAAGCGUGGGGAGCAAACAGG
rnacentral:rRNA from 1 species